rnacentral:rRNA from 1 species
AAUCCCUGCGGGGGAAAGAUUUAUCGCUAUUAGAUGAGCCUAUGUCAGAUUAGCUAGUUGGUGGGGUAAUGGCCUACCAAGGCGGUGAUCUGUAGCUGGUCUGAGAGGAUGAUCAGCCACACUGGAACUGAGACACGGUCCAGACUCCUACGGGAGGCAGCAGUGGGGAAUAUUGGACAAUGGGCGCAAGCCUGAUCCAGCUAUGCCGCGUGAGUGAGGAAGGCCUUAGGGUUGUAAAACUCUUUCAGUAGGGAAGAU